rnacentral:rRNA from 1 species
UUGAACGCUGGCGGCAUGCUUUACACAUGCAAGUCGAACGGCAGCACGGGGGCAACCCUGGUGGCGAGUGGCGAACGGGUGAGUAAUAUAUCGGAACAUGUCCGGAAGUGGGGGAUAACGUACCGAAAGGUACGCUAAUACCGCAUAUGCCCUGAGGGGGAAAGCGGGGGAUCGUAAGACCUCGCGCUUUCGGAGUGGCCGAUAUCAGAUUAGCUAGUUGGUGAGGUAAAGGCUCACCAAGGCGACGAUCUGUAGCUGGUCUGAGAGGACGACCAGCCACACUGGAACUGAGACACGGUCCAGACUCCUACGGGAGGCAGCAGUGGGGAAUUUUGGACAAUGGGCGAAAGCCUGAUCCAGCCAUACCGCGUGAGUGAAGAAGGCCUUCGGGUUGUAAAGCUCUUUCAGCCGGAAAGAAAUCCUGCUUACUAAUACUAAGUGGGGAUGACGGUACCGGAAGAAGAAGCACCGGCUAACUACGUGCCAGCAGCCGCGGUAAUACGUAGGGUGCGAGCGUUAAUCGGAAUUACUGGGCGUAAAGCGUGCGCAGGCGGUUUUAUAAGCCAGAUGUGAAAUCCCCGGGCUUAACCUGGGAACUGCAUUUGGAACUGUAAGACUAGAGUGUAGCAGAGGGGGGUAGAAUUCCACGUGUAGCAGUGAAAUGCGUAGAGAUGUGGAGGAAUACCGAUGGCGAAGGCAGCCCCCUGGGCUAACACUGACGCUCAUGCACGAAAGCGUGGGGAGCAAACAGGAUUAGAUACCCUGGUAGUCCACGCCCUAAACGAUGUCAACUAGUUGUUGGGGAAGGAGACUUUCUUAGUAACGUAGCUAACGCGUGAAGUGACC